rnacentral:rRNA from 1 species
AAUGAACGUUGGCGGCAUGGAUUAGGCAUGCAAGUCGAGCGAGAAGAGUUUUGAAGCUUGCUUUAGAACUCGGACAGCGGCGAAAGGGAGAGUAACGCGUAGUUAUGUGCCCUAGGGUCCGGAAUAGCCACGGGAAACUGUGGGUAAUGCCGGAUAACAUCCCCGGAUCAAAGGUGUGAUUCCGCCCUAGGAGCAGACUGCGUCCUACUAGCUAGUUGGUGGGGUAAUGGCCCACCAAGGCAAUGAUGGGUAGCGGGUAUGAGAGCAUGACCCGUCUCACUGGGGCUGAGACACUGGCCAGACAGCUACGGGUGGCUGCAGUCGAGAAUCUUCGGCAAUGGGCGAAAGCCUGACAGAGCGAUGCCGCGUGCGGGAUGGAGGCCCUCGGGUUGUAAACCGCUGUCGUAGGGGAGGAAGGUUGCGUGAAGAGCGGAAUUUGACCUAUCCUAGGAGGAAGUACGGGCUAAGUUCGUGCCAGCCGCCGCGGUAA